GCUUUCGUGGUGUAAUGGUCAGCACACUGAGCCAGUAUUUCAGAGGUCCGUGGUUCGAUCCCCGGCGAAGGCA
rnacentral:tRNA from 1 species